GAUCCUGGCUUAGGAUGAACGCUGGCGGCGUGCCUAAUACAUGCAAGUCGAACGGAGUUGUUGUAGCAAUACGGCAGCUUAGUGGCGAACGGGUGAGUAACGCGUUGGUGACCUGCCCCGAAGAGGGGGAUAACAGUCCGAAAGGAUUGCUAAUACCCCAUGUGGUUGCCGGUUUUUAGAAUCUGGUAACUAAAGUCGCAAGACACUUUGGGAGGGACCUGCGUCCCAUCAGCUAGUUGGUAAGGUAACGGCUUACCAAGGCGACGACGGGUAGGGGACCUGAGAGGGUGGACCCCCACAAUGGCACUGAAACACGGGCCAUACACCUACGGGUGGCAGCAGUAGGGAAUAUUGCUUAAUGUGCGAAAGCGCGAAGCCAGCAACGCCGCGUGUGCGAUGAAGGCCUUCGGGUCGUAAAGCACUUUUUAGAGGGAUGAGAAAGGACAGUACCUCUAGAAUAAGCCUCGGCUAACUACGUGCCAGCCGCCGC
rnacentral:rRNA from 1 species